ACAAUUGCUUUAGCGCUAGGUCUCUCGAGCCUUGCCUUUUUCCAUGUCUCCCGAAGAAGAUUAAGAGCUGAAAGCGAAUUCCCAAUUAUCUGACACUGGAUCAGUAGAAAAACCUUUGUCAUUACAAUAGGAAAUAGAUGCGAAGCUGUUCAUUUAUCCAGUUGAGACUGCAACAAUUUCUUUUGCGGGAACCGAAACAAGAGCUUGAACAGGAGCUGCUGUCGAUAUUGGCAACGUUUUUAGGGAGCUCUUUGGGAGCGAAAUGACUGACGCGCUAGGAGUGGUCUUUAAGAGCCUGCUUUCGAGUCACCCGGUGAAUUUACCAACCCUGUUCGACUUCAUCGCUACGCCCCUUACCUCUUCAUUGGGAGCAGGUUGACUACAGAGGGUUCCCCCCUAAUUGAACUCAAGCUUCUUUU
rnacentral:lncRNA from 1 species